rnacentral:rRNA from 1 species
GAGACAGCAGCCGCCGCGGUAAUGCGAAGGGUGCAAGCGUUACUCGGAAUUACUGGGCGUAAAGCGUGUGUAGGUGGUUGUUUAAGUCUGUCGUGAAAGCCCUGGGCUCAACCUGGGAAUUGCGAUGGAUACUGGGCGACUAGAGUGCGGUAGAGGAUAGUGGAAUUUCCGGUGUAGCAGUGAAAUGCGUAGAGAUCGGAAGGAACAUCUGUGGCGAAGGCGACUAUCUGGGCCAACACUGACACUGAGACACGAAAGCGUGGGGAGCAAACAGGAUUAGAUACCCCCGUAGUCCCUGUCUCUUAUAC